rnacentral:rRNA from 1 species
ACAGCAGUAGCCGCGGGAAUACGUAGGUGGCAAGCGUUGUCCGGAAUUAUUGGGCGUAAAGGGCUCGCAGGCGGUUUCUUAAGUCUGAUGUGAAAGCCCCCGGCUCAACCGGGGAGGGUCAUUGGAAACUGGGAAACUUGAGUGCAGAAGAGGAGAGUGGAAUUCCACGUGUAGCGGUGAAAUGCGUAGAGAUGUGGAGGAACACCAGUGGCGAAGGCGACUCUCUGGUCUGUAACUGACGCUGAGGAGCGAAAGCGUGGGGAGCGAACAGGAUUAGAUACCCGUGUAGUCCCUGUCUCUUAUAA